UAAGAGACCAGUUAGAAACCUUCAUUAUUCAUGUUAGAAGAGUUGAGGCAUUCAGAGCUUGUUAUGACCUUGCAAGCCUAGCAAUGAAAAUGGUUGAACUUAAGAGGCAUGAAAUAUUUCCCUUGGUUUAUCGCCUAAUUGAGCUGGCAUUGCUGCUACCAGUAGCAACUGCAUCAGUUGAAAGAGCCUUUUCAGCCAUGAAGAUUAUUAAAACUGAGUUGCGGAACAAGAUGUCCGAUGGUUGGCUUAAUGACUUGAUGGUGGUGUAUAUUGAGCGGGAGAUAUUUAAAGGAAUUGAUCUUGAAUCUACCAAGAAGGCUUUUCAGAAGAAAAAAGAUAGAAAUAUGCAAUUGCCAAAGUCUCCUAGACGCAACUAAUAAUAAAUAUACCGCUUCUUUGGUCCAAUUGUUGAUUUGAUGCGUACUUUACGUGUUUUUCUUCAUUUGAGGUACUUCUAAACCAUAUUUUUGUUGUGAACCUUUAUUUCCGUAUAAUAUUUGAACAUAAUCUAGUAAUCCACCGCCA